CGUAAGCGUUUUACAUACUGGUAAACGAUACUUAAGUUCCUAAAUUUUCUUUUCCUUCUAUGUUGCAAAAAACAUAUGUAAAAGGGAGACUUAUUAUUUAAAACUUAUUUUUCGGUUUCUAAAUACUUCUAUUAUCCCGAUUAUGUGUCGAUUUGGUUCGCCGCAACCAAGACAAACCCAACGUCGAUAAUUAAUUUUAUUCCAUAAAAAAAAAUCUCAAUAAUCAAUGUACGGCAUCACUAAUUGCAUAUACUCCAUUGAUAACUUGAUUUCAUUACCUAAUAUACAGUGACACAUUAAAAAACGCAUCCUUUACCAGUCUUUCCGCUUUUGAGGAGGAUGCGGAGGUUCAGAGUGUUUAGGACUAGAACAUGUUAGUAAUAGAAAGAGAAAGUCAACACUAUAAUUCUUCAAAAAACUUACUGAGCAUCUGGGCAAUUAGGGCCUAGCGGACAAAACCCAGCUAAAUAUUUUGGGCAAGGCCUUGGUUUUCGUACAUGUUUGCCUCGACAUAUAGGUCCUAAAGGACAAAAUCCCAUAUUAUACCAGGCACAGACACCAACUUGUUUACUGGGAUCCAAAUGGAGAUAUAAACACUCUUCGCCAUUAGAACACCAGCCGCGCUCUGCAUAAAAGUGACAUGGAGGCAUCUUUUUUAAAUUGUACUCGUGUAAAAAAUCACACUGUUCACCUUUUUUACAAAGUCCACGAAGCCUUAUAUAAUAUUAGUUAUCAUGAAGGUAGAAACAAAAACAAAUAGAAAAAUACAUGAAAUAUAUAUUCAUAUUACUCUUCUUUAUAUAUACAUACCAAUGCUUGCAAACCACGCUACCCAUUUUCGAUCCAGAAUCGCGUCCAUUUCCAGAGUUUAGCAAGGCAGACCUUCCGAAAUUAAAAUUUUGCUUUAAAUAGUUAUCAAAACGAAAUUGAACUGAAG